GAUUAGUCGUGACCUGAACAGCAGCUGAAGGAGAGAGCACAAAUGAAGGCCAAAUACUGCAUCAUUGUACUGUUGUUGCUUGCUGCUUCCCAGCGAGGAGAUUGCUUUGCCUCUGCAAGAGUCAGAGAUUUCACAAAGACCGGUGUAGAAGGUUACUUUGUAAUCAUAUCACAUUUCACAGAUACCAAAGUAGUGGGUUGGUAUACGUGUGUAACAUUUAGAGAACCCACAAAUACCGAUCAAGUGGGUUGGUUCCUGUGUAAAAGAACAGAUUUCCUAAAUCCCAACCCAAAUGAUGACUCUAUGUCUUUCGUAACACUUUUCACAAAUACCAAUGAAGAGGUUUGGCAUGUGAGCGCAACCUUUACUGAAUUCACAAAUACCAAUGAAGAGAAUUGGUAUGUGUGCGAAAAAUUUAAGGGUUUCACAGAUGCCAAUACUAAGGAUUAUUUUAUGUUCGUGAGACGUUUCACAAAUACCAAUGAAGGAGGUUGGUUUGUGUGUAAGAGAAAUAAGUUUUCCAAAUAUCAAUGCGGUGGAGCUGGAGCUGGCCACUGGAGUAUUUGAUGAUGUGUUCGCCAUGACUGCAGUGGUCUCUCUUGCUUCUGGCGUCGAUAUUCCUCAGUAUCAAAGUCUGGAAUAUGCAGUCACUCCUCUAACGAUACUAUUUGGAUUCGAAAGGUAUACCGGCAACACAGCAAGAAUUAUACCAGGAAGAAGUGAAGCUGCGGACAAAACAACUUUGACUAUAUCACACUCGAGUGUAAAAAUGGUGGAAGCACCAGUAUUUACAAGCACUAGAGCCACAUGUGUUUUACUCCUGUGUUAUCUGAUUCCAAACAAUAUGAAGUUAACCAUAUGACAUUGUAGCUCUUACUAUGAAAUGCACAUAUUAAUCUGCAAUUACUGUCUUCAGUGAGGUGUCGUUAAAUGUUGGAAGAUGAAGUAAUAUAAUACAUACAUCCCUUAUCUCUGAAACAUCUUUACAAAUGUUUAAAAACGCAAUUACACACAGACACACUGAAAGUGAAAGAGAGACAGAGACCUACAUGAACGUGCUAGUAACACAUCAACAAAACACACCAAUACAAAUUUAAUUCUUGAGUGUUCCUUCUUUAUGCUUGACUAUGAAUGACAUCUUGUUUCAGAGAACUUGCAUGAUUUCCUACAGUGAUUAUCCAUUUUGAAUGAUUUACUGUUUAUAUGAUAGCUAUUGCUGACAAAAUUUAACCAUUGCUGUAAAGGUGUACAAAUUGUUGACUGUCAUGGUGUUCUUGGUUUAUAAGUGAGAACAUAAAACAGGCUAGUUAAAUCAAGAGAAAUAUUUCAUUUGAAUUUCGUAAGGUGCCUUACUUGACAUCAGAGUUUUCCAAACAUACAACAGGAAUAUUUAUCAAUCAAAAUAAAAGUGUUAUUCGAAUGAUGUGGCACAUGUUAGAUUAUAUUUGCAAUUCUCGACUUUCAUCUACAGUAUACUUGUUUUUUAUUUUAUACGAAAUAACAUCACACUCCAUUAAACUCCCCAUACCGCCUCUGGUGAGUUGCGCUAGUUGCAGAUAUUGAAUGAAGG